ensembl:lincRNA Gm43248 predicted gene 43248
GGGGCAUGCGCCAGGCCACUGAGGGUGCUGGCCACAGAUCUUGUCUGGAGAAUAAAGGAACAGCCAGAUUGCUUUCGGGAGGCAUCUUCUUCCUUUCACAUCCCUGAGAGCGUGUUUUGCCUGCGACGGAAAGUCAAGCCUCAGCUGAGGACCUUCUGUGUGGUGCUCUGAUUUCUUUGCUAAGUAGUCUGAUUUUUCCCCCCCAGUAAUUUCUAUUUUUAUGCACAGUGACUCUCAAUUGGUGAGAAAAUGAUGAUCACAUAAUCUCUCUUCCUCGAAGCUGCCGAAUGAUUAGCCUCAUUUGCUGCGCGUUCCACUCCACGGCCCGGAAAUGACGCCCCUCUCCAACUCCGGCUAAGCAUGUCAGCUAGAUGGGUUUGACCUUUUCCUGGAAAACAAGGGAGAUGAGAACACGUGAUGUGUGCGCAAACUGAUGCUCAAAUGGGCUAUUUUAGCCAACACUUCAAGAUACAUGCUUCGCUAAACUGGCUGAGAACACACCGGAGCGUUUCCAGUGAGGGCUUUUUAAGGCAUUUAAGAGUCUUGCUAUCUUCAAAAGUAAAGGUAUGACAGAAGACAGCCUGCAGGAGCCAGUUCUCUCCAUCCACCAUGUGGUUACUGGGGGAUCAAAUUCAGAUCAGCAGGUUUGGUGGUACCCUCGGCUUGUUUACACCCUGGAUGAUAAGAAUAAGAAGCUCCGGAUGUGGCGUCAAGAACUUCAGUGCCUCUGUCGUCUGGAUCCCGGGUGAUUGAGAGACUGCAGGAAUUUUUAGAGAUAAGGACCUUAUGAUCCCUUGAGCUACUUUACAAUCUAGCUUAUAACCUGCUUGAGUUCCUGUCCUGACUUCCUUCAGUGAUGAGUAAUGCCAUGAAAGUGUAAACCCAACAAACCCUCUCUUCUGUAAGUUGCUUUUGGUCAUGGCGUCUCAUCUCAUCAACAGUAACCCUAACUAAGAUGUGCGUCGUGUGAGAAAAUGAAUAUUUUCAAAGGGACUCUGAGGAAUGUUCUCAUGAAUCCUGUCUACCCAGAUUGCAACCUGAAUACCAGAACACAUUGUUUGAAUACAUAAUUCAAGGUCAACGAGAAGGUGUUCCAUUGUAUGAUUUAGUCAUGAGCCACCGCUUGGAGCAUCAUCUUUCUGCCAUUAAUGAGUCGCCUUCUACAGCAGCAGGAUUUGGAAACCUUUGAACUGUUUAGAGGAGAGCCUUUGGACUGCAUCCGCCAAGCAAGAAUCAAGAAGCUCCUUCAUCGUAAGGCUGAAGCUGAUGCAGUUUUCCUGAACUUCUUUUUUUCUGCCUUUGAGAGCAAUUAGCAGCGAGUUAGUCUUCAGUAACUAUAGCUCACGGAGGGGCCAAAGGGUCUCUCAAUGGAUCUGGGGCUAGGCUGGCCGCCAGAAAACCCCGGGAAUCCUCCAGCAUUCACCUGCUCUCGGCACUGGGGUUAUAGAUACGCAUGGCCACACGGAGCUUUUCCUCUCAAAGAUCAGCGAGAUAAUUUGCAAGCAAAAUCUCAGCGCUGAGAGACAGGUUAGAGAAGGAUGUAGAAACCCCACAGGCUGGGCACUGAGUUGGUGAUCGAAUGGAAAAGGUAUAAACUCUCAGGGGACUUAGACCCAGGCCCUGAUGUAGGGAGUUACUGGGUAAAGGUAAGCAAAAGCAAUUAGUUUGUGUGUGUGUGUGUAAGCACACACUUAUGAACUGGUGCAUUUUGGGUUCAUCUAGAUGAUCUUAAGAAUAUGUUUUCUUUGAUGUAAAUUGGUGUGUGUUUGUGUGUGUGUGUGUUUGUGUGUUUAUGUGUAAGCACACACUUAUGAACUGGGGCAUUUUGGGUUCAUCUAGAUGAUCUUAAGAAUAUGUUUUCUUUGAUGUAGAUUGGUACCUAGCAGCCAGUGAUGGGAAAACGCCUCCUCCAUACUCAGCUUUGUCACCCAACCUCUUGUGAAGACAGGAUGGAGCCCAGAUAGAGGCCUCCUGCUGACUCCUUGUGCAAAGAGAGGAAACAAGGGUCAAUGCUAACAAGUGAAACACUGGCUUAAAAUAUGAAUCUGCUCUCUAUCAAAUGCUCGUGCAGUCUUUAAAGGAGAGGAGGCAGAGGAGACAUCGAAGAGGAGAGGAUCUGGGAAGGAGAGGAUCUGGGAGGAUGGAGUCUAGAUCACAAGGGAACAUACAGCCAGAAGCCAGAGAGCUUUGAAUCUUUGAAGGACAGAAACCCCAUUGCUGUUGGAAGAUGGAGAAGGUGACAAGAAGAAGCACAGGCAGCCGGAAUAUGUCAUGGCUUUUAAAAAUAUUUAUUUAUAGGAAAACUAUAAACCCAUGUUUAAAUAAACUCUGUUCUUGGUCAGCUUUUC